UCUGUGUCAAGAGUUUGCCCUGCAAACGGCAACAGCUCCAAGAAUCUGUCGGUGUACUCCUCUACACUCAUUUCCUCUGUCUGCCUUAACUGUUCAAACUCAAUCAUCUUCAAUUCUCUUGAACUGUCAGGAAAAGCCCAUCCUGCAAAUUCAUUUGCAAACUCCUCCCACGAUAGGCUGUUCAACCUCGGGCUCACAUAGUUCUUAAACCACUCACGGGCCUUUUUGCAUUUUAAUGUGAACCCAGCCAUCUGAAUGGCUCUACUGUCAUCUGCCCCUAUCUCAUCUGUAAUUGUUUUGACCCUCUCAAGGUACACAAACGGG
rnacentral:lncRNA from 1 species